rnacentral:misc_RNA from 1 species
CCGAGUUUACAACUCCCAAACCCCUGUGAACAUACCUACUUGUUGCCUCGGCGGAUCAGCCCGCUCCCGGUAAAACGGGACGGCCCGCCAGAGGACCCCUAAACUCUGUUUCUAUAUGUAACUUCUGAGUAAAACAAACAAUAAAUCA